rnacentral:rRNA from 1 species
UUUACGGGAAGCAGCAGUGGUUAUUUUUUUGACAAUGGGGGCAAGCCUGAUCCAGCCAUGCCGCGUGUGUGAAGAAGGCCCUCGGGUUGUAAAGCACUUUCAGCAGGGAGGAAGGCUUCGGGCUAAUACCCUGGAGUACUUGACGUUACCUGCAGAAGAAGCACCGGCUAAUUUCGUGCCAGCACCCGCGGUAAUACGAAGGGUGCGAGCGUUUUUCGGAAUUACUGGGCGUAAAGCGCGCGUAGGCGGCGAUUUAAGUCGGAUGUGAAAUCCCCGGGCUCAACCCAGGAAAUGCAUCCGAUACUGGAUGGCUAGAGUGCAGUAGAGGGAAGUGGAAUUCCCGGUGUAGCGGUGAAAUGCGUAGAGAUAUGGAGGAACACCAGUGGGGAAGGCGGCCUCCUGGACGGACACUGCCGUUGGGAGGCGAAAGCGUGGGGGUCAACCAGGAUUAGAUACCCUGGUAGUCCACCCCGUAAACGAUGUCUACUAGCCGGGGUUGCUUCACUGUUCCGGUGGCGCAGCUAACGCGAUA